UGGCGGACGGGUGAGUAACGCGUGAGUAACCUGCCUUCAAGAGGGGGAUAACAUUCUGAAAAGAAUGCUAAUACCGCAUGACAUAUCGGAAUCACAUGAUUUUGAUAUCAAAGAUUUUAUCGCUUGAAGAUGGACUCGCGUCCGAUUAGUUAGUUGGUGAGGUAACGGCUCACCAAGACCGCGAUCGGUAGCCGGACUGAGAGGUUGAACGGCCACAUUGGGACUGAGACACGGCCCAGACUCCUACGGGAGGCAGCAGUGGGGGAUAUUGCGCAAUGGGGGCAACCCUGACGCAGCAACGCCGCGUGAAGGAUGAAGGUUUUCGGAUUGUAAACUUCUUUUAUUAAGGACGAAAAAUGACGGUACUUAAUGAAUAAGCUCCGGCUAACUACGUGCCAGCAGCCGCGGUAAUACGUAGGGAGCAAGCGUUGUCCGGAUUUACUGGGUGUAAAGGGUGCGUAGGCGGCUUUGCAAGUCAGAUGUGAAAUCUAUGGGCUCAACCCAUAAACUGCAUUUGAAACUGUAGAGCUUGAGUGAAGUAGAGGCAGGCGGGAUUCCCCGUGUAGCGGUGAAAUGCGUAGAGAUGGGGAGGAACACCAGUGGCGAAGGCGGCCUGCUGGGCUUUAACUGACGCUGAGGCACGAAAGCGUGGGUAGCAAACAGGAUUAGAUACCCUGGUAGUCCACGCUGUAAACGAUGAUUACUAGGUGUGGGGGGUCUGACCCCUUCCGUGCCGGAGUUAACACA
rnacentral:rRNA from 1 species